rnacentral:lncRNA from 1 species
UUUUCUUUUCCAUUUCCUUAAAUCAAAACGCCUUCUCUGAUUGGUACUUGAUGCAUCUAAUCAUGAUUAAAACUUAACAAGCCUUUGUCCUUUAUUUUAACAGGCCCUAAACUUAAAAAUCUGCCUCAACCUUCAAUAACAAAGCUUUUUUAUGUUAACUGGUCUUUUCAACUUAGCCUGACCCAACCUCUCAAAUCUAACCUGACCUUACUUUAUCUCGAUAACUAUCCAAAGCCUAUAGUAUCAUCGAAUUCAUUUAUUUGAAUAAUUACAAUAUAGUCAAAUUUACGUUAUAAAGUCAGCGUAUAUUAUUUAGGCCGGUACAUUGGUUUGAUAUUCUUGUCUAUCAUUGAACAAAUAAAGCCGAUUAUCUAUUCUUUUCCCACUCCACACCGCUGUCAAAUUGUUUGUAGACUAACGUACGGUAGGCUAUAUAUAUAUAGUUAGCCUAUAGCCUAUAAUGAACUAACAUAACAGUUAUCUCCAUCUUAUUCAGCACAUUUAUAGCACACAUCUUAUUCAGCACAUUAUAGUUUAAAUACUGUAUUAUACUAGACCUAUAAUACAUACCGUAUAGAAAAUCAGGGAGUCAAACGACACUAUUUUUAGGUAUAAAAAUAUAACUAACAGAAAAUAUUUUCAAGUCAUGUUACGUUAUUCCAACAAAAAGAAUAAAAUAGAAUUUGAUUGAUAAUAAUAUUACAGGUUAUCGCCUAUUGUACGGUUUGGCGAGAAUAUAACAUAUCGGUUGGAAGACUGCUCCAGAGUCGCGAAGCUGUAACCGUGAAAGAACCGUUAAUACAUGACAGUUCGAUGGAGUGAAAUCUGCAAAAAGUCAUCCUGCUGCCGAGUGUUCUUGUAAUGAUGAAUUUGUAUAGUUACCGGGACGGGACCCUAAUAAGGGUCAGUAGUUUAAUUUCAUUUCAUUAUUUCAACUGAAGCAUGACUUGACAACAAUAAUAGUCACAUGGCCACCGCUUUGUCUUUGAGCCUCAGCUGGGGAGGGAUUCCCUACGAGAUUCUCGCUAUUAUUGUUGCCCAAAUUCUAAUUUGAAUUUCUUUAUUGAGAGGGGUUCAAUGUCUUCUAUAGCACCGACCAAUGAGAAUUUCUUGCUAAACAUCAAUUAUUCAAACUUUGUACAGAAAACACUUUUAAAGUGGGAUCACUUACUCUUUAGCAAAAACGACGUUUCGGUCAUCUUCAGACUCAAAAUUACUGUCGAGUCAUGACCAAUAACAGGUCGAAAUGUCGUCACUGCUAAAGAGUAAGUUUUUCCACUUUAAAAGUGUUUUUAUACAAUGUUUAAACUAAUAAUAGAAAAGAAUAGAUUCACAACACAGCAUAUUAAUAAUUAUUGUGAUAUACUGAAUACAUUACCUAAAUAACUCAAGGAACGCUACUUGAAUAUCGUCUAUUGAGCUGGUUUGAUAUUGUGUUUUCAUAAAGCUACAAGACCAAAAUAGUAGCACAUAAGUAGACAAUUUAUUUUUGAAACCCUCGAGAAUUACGAUACUGGGCAUCAACGUCCUAGGAAGUGAUUUUGAAAUUUCAUAGCAAAGUGUUUUUUUAGGUAAUUGGUGCCUUCAAGUAAUUAAAUACUAGAUCAAGUGCUCAACCAAUUUUCCAAUAGAUAAAUAGAAUGACAAAUUGGAAACCAAUUUGACAAAAAUGAAGAUCUAGAGAACAGUAGAUUCCAAAUAUUAAAUCCAAAUUACAAUUCUAAGCUGUUUAGGUGAAUACAUAUGAAAUGAAUAAUUCAAUUCAUCAAUAAACUUACAAUUUUCGGGAACCAGCAUUGAGAUGAUCAUAUUCAUUUGAUAUUUACUUUUUGAAAUUAUGCUUUUCCAUUCGCUAUUUUAUUCAGUGGACAUUGAAGAGUAACACACAUAGAAUCAGAGAAAUUGAGAAAUCAUAAAUUAUGUUAUGCUACUUUUUUGGUAAAUUAGGAACAUUUAAGAAGACAAAUUAUAUACAGAACAAAAUGUAAAAAUUUAAUGAGCAAGCUGUUUAAAAUAUAUAAAUGGAUUCACAAGUAAGAGUUAACAAACAAACCUUUAAUAAAUUUAUUUUACCUGGAAUUUAAACUAGACUUCAAUGUAGAACACUAAUUUAGCAUCCAUGAACAUAGAAUAUAAUUUCAUUUCAUUUCAUUUUACUUUUCUUCGUUAAAGUCUUCGUUAAAACACGUGGAACUGUGCUUUAUUAGGUACCUUAAAUCACUUUCCUUUAUAAUUAUCCAAAAUUAUAUUACGGUACUAACAUUACUUCACUCAUUUAACUUGUUUGAAAUCUUAUUGUAUUAAAGCUUUAUAAAGAUAGAAUCACCCGACAGUCUCAAAUCCUACCACUAACUUCAAAACAGUGGUUACCAGUUGGUUGGUCUGUGCUCGAUUGACCAAUGAAUCCAUUAAGAACCCUUAUGAUUCAUAAUCAUAUACACAAAUA